AACGUAGGGCGCGAGCGUUGUCCGGAUUUAUUGGGCGUAAAGAGCUCGUAGGCGGCUUGUCGCGUCGGCUGUGAAAACCCCGCGGCUCAACUGUGGGCGGGCAGCUGAUACGGGCAGGCUGGAGUUCGGUAGGGGGAGACUGGAAUUCCUGGUGUAGCGGUGAAAAUGCGCAGAUAUCAGGAGGAACACCGGUGGCGAAGGCGGGUCUCUGGGCCGAUACUGACGUGAGGAGCGAAAGCGUGGGGAGCGAACAGG
rnacentral:rRNA from 1 species